rnacentral:misc_RNA from 1 species
GAUGAAGAACGUAGCGAAAUGCGAUAAGUAGUGUGAAUUGCAGAAUUCAGUGAAUCAUCGAAUCUUUGAACGCACAUUGCGCCCCAUGGUAUUCCGUGGGGCAUGCCUGUUCGAGCGUCAUUUUCCCCCUCAAGCUCCGCUUGGUGUUGGGCGUCUGUCCCGCUUCGCGCGCGGACUCGCCCCAAAGGUAUUGGCAGCGGUCGUGCCAGCUUCUCGCGCAGCACAUUGCGCUUCUCGAGGCACCGGUGGGCCCGCGUCCAUCAAGCUCACCCCCCCAGUUUGACCUCGGAUCAGGUAGGGAUACCCGCUGAACUUAAGCAUAUCAAUAAGCGGAGGA